AUGAGCUUAUUAUUCUGUUUUCAUGCAUACCUAUACUCAUCACUAUCACCAUAAGCUAAAACGAUGUCGGUGAACUCAGACAUGACUACGCGAGCUGCUGCAUUCAUUAAAUUUAGACAUCUCAAAUCAUUUGGCUUCUCAAAAUCAUGUUUCUUUGUGAACUUAUGGAAUCCUUUGCCAUCAAUUCGUAUUACGAUAUAAGUCUCAGGUAGUAAACGAUCCAAUCUUUCGUAUUGCUUCACAUAUUCAAACCUUGACUUGGCCAUCCUUUCAUAACAAAUUAUAUGUAUAAUAUAAUGUAGCCCCGACCUUUUUCCAUGUAAUUUCCUCAAAAAGCCCACCGAAAAUGCUUCGUUUGAAAAUGUGAAUUUCCUAACCAACCUUGAAUC